CGACCUGGAGAAACGAUGGGUUGCAAAAAAAACAAAGAACUGGAUUUCCUCGGGGGCAGCGUGUCAUCUGGUCACGGUGCCUUGCUGGAUAGCCAGCAAAACCCCCAAAAAACCACCACCGCCACCAAAACCCCUUUCUGCCGGAAUAUUUGUCCUGGCAGGGGGGCGAGCCAUCCUGCUCGCUUGUUCCUCCCGCUGCACCCCAGGCUCGAGGGCAGCCUCGUGUCUGAAACGGGGGGGGAAAAAAAAAUCGGUUAUGAGCUGGAUCCUCGCUGAAACCUCUUCAGAGGCUGAAAAAUAUCAGGCGAAAUGGUGAAGCGCGGGUGCCAGAGCGCCUGCCAUGGGCUGCGAGGUAGCCGCCUGCCGCGGUUUCCUUCCCUCCUCCCUGCGCUCUUCGUUGCCUAAAAGCCGCCCGUCGCCGCGCUCGGCGUCGCUGCCAAGUCCCCCUGGUGUGCGGGAGGGGACGGAGCAGCUCCCUGCUGGGGACACGGGGUGGUGGCGCUGGGGGACACGGGGCUGGUGGCAGUGGGGGAUAUGGGGCUGGUGGCACUGGGAGGUGACAGCAGGGGACAUGGGGCUGGUGGCGCUGGGAGGUGGCA